rnacentral:misc_RNA from 1 species
UGGAAUGUGCAUCGCGUUUAACGCAAUAAAAUACAACUUUCAGCAACGGAUAUAUUGGCUCUCGCAUCGAUGAAGAACGCAGUGAAAUGCGAUAAGUAAUGUGAAUUGCAGAAUUCAGUGAAUCAUCGAAUCUUUGAACGCACCUUGCGCCCCUUGGCUAUUCCGAGGGGCAUGCCUGUUUGAGUAUCAUGAACACCUCAACUCUCAUGGUUCGCCGUGAUGAGCUUGGACUUUGGGGGNUNUGCUGGCUUACGGUCAGCUCCUAUCAAACAAAUCAGCCUGCCAGUGUUUGGUGGCAUCACAGGUGUGAUAACUAUAUACGNUNGUGGU